UUCCAGACUCCUACGGGAGGCAGCAGUGGGGAAUAUUGCACAAUGGGGGAAACCCUGACGCAGCGACGCCGCGUGAGUGAAGAAGUAUUUCGGUAUGUAAAGCUCUAUCAGCAGGGAAGAAAAUGACGGUACCUGAUUAAGAAGCCCCGGCUAACUACGUGCCAGCAGCCGCGGUAAUACGUAGGGGGCAAGCGUUAUCCGGAUUUACUGGGUGUAAAGGGAGCGUAGACGGUGAUGCAAGUCAGAAGUGAAAGCCCGGGGCUCAACUCCGGGACUGCUUUUGAAACUGUGUGACUGGAGUGCAGGAGAGGUAAGCGGAAUUCCUGGUGUAGCGGUGAAAUGCGUAGAUAUCAGGAGGAACACCAGUGGCGAAGGCGGCUUACUGGACUGUAACUGACGUUGAGGCUCGAAAGCGUGGGGAGCAAACAGGAUUAGAUGCCCGCGUAC
rnacentral:rRNA from 1 species